CUUAUGAAAUGCAGCCAUCCUAUGGAUCAAUUCUAACAACAAUGUUUCUUCCCAGAUGGUCUUAGGCAUUUCAGGAUGUGAUCUUUUACUAUGUUUCUCAAGCAUGCACAUUUUCAUGUCCCAGACACUGAAGAAGUGUCUGCAGUCCCUUCCAGGAGGAUGAUGAAGCAUCACCAGCUAUCAUCAUAAUCUUGGGCGUGCUUUGGUUCUGGAAAAGCUGCUGUGAGGGCAUCUACUGGACACAGCAGUUUGGCAAGGAGGGAUGAUACAAGCAACAGAAGGAAGGAAAAGAGCUGAAGGGAGACACCCCCUAAAGAUAUUCUGACAGGAGGAGGAGACACUUCUGUGCUUCACGGCAACCAGCACCCAAGUGAAGGCAGCAGCGCUCAUGGUCUCUGCACUGGAACACUCCCAGGAAAACACAGGGCACCUGACUUGGAAAGGAGAGAACUGGCGGUCCUUCCAGUGUGUGGAUUUAAUUUACAUACAUCGACGUAGAUAUUGUAGGAAAUGGAUUUGUCUUCCCCAGUACAAGACAGGCAUAGACACACAGAAGGAAAUCCAGUGAAGAGCAACAAAAAUUGAGAAUAAAACCUCUCUGGAUAAAACCUCUCGGCUGUCCUAUGAAGAUCUGCCCCUCAUCAGCAUCUAGGGAUGGUGAAGUACCUCAGCUUCCCUUGCCAUGCAUGCCUUGCCUGUGACCAAACAAGAUGUCUCCUUCCAAUGGAAAGGUGGGAACUCUGACUCCAGAACAAGGGAAGAAAAAGGGACCAUGACAUCAAAGUUCAAAAACAGGAAGGUUAGGACACACUGGCCUGAAAUUCAGUGUGCCAUGUGGAGUCCGAACUACGUCCAGAAGUCUGGGCUACAACAUCUCCAGUGCUU